GCAGAAGUACUCAAGUGGCUGAAGAGGUGCCCCUGCUAAGGGUAUAGACCGUUUACGCGGUGCGAGGGUUCAAAUCCCUCCUUCUGCGC
rnacentral:tRNA from 2 species